rnacentral:rRNA from 1 species
CGUAGGGGCAAGCGUUGUCCGGAAUGACUGGGCGUAAAGGGUACGUAGGCGGUUAUGUAAGUCAGGUGUGAAAGGCUAGGGCUCAACCCUAGUAAGCACUUGAAACUGCGUAACUUGAGUCGAGGAGAGGAAAGUGGAAUUCCUGGUGUAGCGGUGAAAUGCGUAGAUAUCAGGAGGAAUACCAGUGGCGAAGGCGACUUUCUGGCCUUGGACUGACGCUGAGGUACGAAAGCGUGGGGAGCAAACAGGAUU